rnacentral:misc_RNA from 1 species
UUUCCGUAGGUGAACCUGCGGAAGGAUCAUUCAUAAUAAAGUGUUUUAUGGCACUUUUUAAAAAUCCAUAUCCACCUUGUGUGCAAUGUUAGAUCUCGUCAAUCUUGGCGAGAUUUUUAUACAUCAACUCAUUCUGUAACUAAUUUGUCUGAAAAAUAUUAUGAAUACUUAAUUCAAAAUACAACUUUCAACAACGGAUCUCUUGGCUCUC